rnacentral:rRNA from 1 species
UUCCGUAGGUGAACCUGCGGAAGGAUCAUUAUUGAAUUUUUGAUUUUAACAAUCUUACAUUCUUGUGAACUUUAUAAACUUUGCUUGGGUAAUAGUAUUGGAGACUUUAUUGUUACCCAAAGUUUUUUACAAAAACACUUUAUUAAAAAAAACACCAAAACGAUUCUGAAAAUUUUAAAAAAAUUAAAUUAAAACUUUCAACAACGGAUCUCUUGGUUCUCGCAUCGAUGAAGAACGCAGCAAAAUGCGAUAAGUAAUGUGAAUUGCAGAAUUGUGAAUCAUCGAAUCUUUGAACGCACAUUGCGCCUUUUGGUAUUCCAAAAGGCAUGCCUGUUUGAGCGUGAUUACAUCUUCUUAAAUCAACUUUAUUGUUUGACUUUAAGGUAUUGGAAAUUUUGUACUAUUUUUAAGCACAAUUUUCUGAAAUACAUUGGUGAUCUUGUGAAAUUCCAAUUUAUAAAAAAACGUAUUAGGUUUUAUCCACUCGUUUUUUAAUUAUAAUAUUGACUUUUCACAAAUUUAUAAGAUCUGUCCAUAAUUUGUUUUAUCACUUUCCACCUCAAAUCAAGUAGGACUACCCGCUGAACUUAAGCAUAUCAAUAG